rnacentral:rRNA from 1 species
UACGUAGGGUGCAAGCGUUGUCCGGAAUUAUUGGGCGUAAAGAGCUCGUAGGCGGUUCGUCGCGUCGGCUGUGAAAUCCCGAGGCUCAACCUCGGGUCUGCAGUCGAUACGAGCAAACUAGAGUGUUGCAGGGGAGACUGGAAUUCCUGGUGUAGCGGUGAAAUGCGCAGAUAUCAGGAGGAACACCGGUGGCGAAGGCGGGUCUCUGGGCAACAACUGACGCUGAGGAGCGAAAGCGUGGGGAGCGAACAGG